rfam:Cavia porcellus supercont2_169 genomic scaffold, whole genome shotgun sequence.
GGGGAUUUAGCUCAGCGGCAUAAGCGCCUGCCUUGCAAGCAGGCAGUUGUGAGUUCAAUCCCCA